UACGUAGGGGGCGAGCGUUGUCCGGAAUCAUUGGGCGUAAAGAGCGGGUAGGCGGCUUGGCAAGUCUGACGUGAAAGCCCGCGGCUCAACCGUGGAACUGCUUGGUAUACUGCUUGUCUUGAGCCACUUAGGGCUACCGGAACAAAUGGUGGAGCGGUGAAAUGCGUAGAUAUCGAGAGGAACACCUGCGGCGAAGGCGGGUUGCUGGCUGACACUGACGCUGAUGCGCGAAAGCCAGGGAGCGAACGGG
rnacentral:rRNA from 1 species